rnacentral:rRNA from 1 species
UACAGAGGGUGCGAGCGUUGUUCGGAGUUACUGGGCGUAAAGGGUGCGCAGGCGGCCUGGCGCGUCGCGAGUGAAAUCUCCUGGCUCAACUGGGAGGGUGGUCGCGAGACGGCUGGGCUUGAGGCUCGGUGAGGGGCGUGGAAUUCCGGGUGGAGCGGUGAAAUGCGUAGAGAUCCGGAGGAACACCGACGGCGUAGGCAGCGCCCUAGACGAGACCUGACGCUCAGGCACGAAAGCGCGGGGAGCGAACAGG